CACACCGACUCUCUUCAGCAAUUGGAAAAAAAGAGGAGGGGCCCUCUGAAACAGAAAAGAAAUAUGGCAAUACUUUCGUUUUUGUCGUCGUUAGAAGCAGAUAUUUCUGUACCCUCGCUCUUGUCCACCGUGACCGUCGUCUCGGCCACUGCCACAACCUUGUUCUUAAUCUGCAAGUCUCGCUCUCGCCAAUCUAAAAGCAAUUCAACUGGCAAGAUUCUAUUUGUUUCCCAAAUCGGAACCUCAAAAGCCCUAGCUUCGUGCCUCUGCAAUUUGUUCGAGUCGUUCGGCGCCGUUACGGAGCUCGUAGAUGCCAGGGAUUACGUGCCCGAAGCCCUACCCAAGGAGAACCUUGUCGUCCUCGUUGCUUCAACUUCGGAAGUUUGGAACCAAUUGCUCGGACAAGAUUUCAUCUUAACUGACAACCGUUCUCGCGGAGCACGGAUGUUCGCCCGUUCGAUCGUCAAGUACGCGAAGGGCUGUAAGUUUGGAUCGUUAGUUGUGAAUGCUAACGGUUUCAGUGCGUUUGUCGCCGGCAAAGGGGCUUCUGAAGAUGACACGAAUUUGAUGGCUAAGGCUGCCAAUCAAAUUAGGGAUUUGGGGGACACUGUUAAAUUGAACGCGGAUUUUGAGAGCUGGUGGGGAAGUGUUGUUGGGGUUUUGCAAGGUGCUGUUUCGGGAGGUGCUGCUGAUGCCAUGUGCGGGGAAUCUGAUCCUAAGGAUGUUGGUUCUUCUGAUUCAAAGCUAUCCAUGACGCAGAGCUUAUACCUGUUUGUGGAAAAUACAGAUCUUGAUUUAGAGUAUGUUGGGACAACAACCAUCACGCGCAGGAUGUUAACUAUAACUGAGGCCAACUUUAUUAAGAAUGGCACUGUUGAUCUUGAAGAUGGAGGUCAUGUAACUGCCGAAUGGCCUGUUAGAGAUGGUCUAUUGGUCGAUUAUCCAUUACCAGAUGGUCAAGGAUUUUGUUCUGUCGGUCACAGCUUCUUCUUUGCUGGUGGUAACCUGUGUGUUGUUGACCCAAAAUUGUGUUUGGAUUUGCAUGAUUAUUACCCCUCAAGGAUGUGUUGCCUCAAGUAUGAGGGUUCUAAUUGGAGUUGGAAGUUUUGUGGAAGCAUGUUCUGCGACCGAUUUAGACCCUUAGUAGUCCCCUAUGAUGGCAAGUUGUACAUCUUUGGGGGUGGUGGAGAUGCAAAUUGCUGGGUUGAUAUUUACUGCCUAAAAUCAGGUCUAUGGGAAACAAGGGAAAGGAAAGUGCCCGAAAGUGCUCUCUUUUCAUAUUGCAUGGGCCAUUACACUUACUUUCUGUGGGAGGACAGCACCAAGCCUCACAAGAAGACGCACAUUGUAUUGUAUGCUCGUCGUGGUGAACAUCAAGGUCUUUUGUCAUAUGACGUCAAGGCUAACAAUUGGGAAUACCUUGAUUGGAAUUUUCCGCCAGUUCCUAGAUUAUGUCCAAGGAGACUUGUUCGUUUGGGAUGCAGUCACUAUCUUCUGAUUGUUGACUUUGCUCCAAUGUGGCAUAUUUAUGAUUUAUCUAAGAUGAAGGUUGUGGAAACGGUGGAGGUGCAUGGUUUGGACAAGACCGCAGAAAUAAUGAAUAUUUUUUGUUGCCACAACACUAGCGAUGAAAGUUUGAUUUAUAUGUUCAUGAAACCUGAAAAUGCUUUCGAGGGAGAGCCAUCUACUAGCUAUGAUUCUGGGGUUGUUUCUUAUGCCAGAGUCAAGCUCGAACUCAAAACUUUCUCUGCCAAGAUUGAAUCCAAGGGUAAUCUUAACGUUGGUAAUUUGGUAAAACUUUAUAUGUUUGCUGUUGGAGAUGAAGACCAAUAAUUGUUUAACAACAGCAGUAUAAGAUCUCGAAUCUGUGAAGCAUUACUGUUCCUGCACAAGAAUUUGAUGACAAAAUAAAAGUUAUGUUGACAAGUGAAGUGUUAAUUGGAGCCAAGUGUCAAGCAAUUUCCGAUAAGCAAGUAGAGUGCAAAAGCAACUCUCAUAACUAUGAAUGCAACCAGGAAUGCAUAGACAAACAUGGUUUCAAGGCCUAUGGAGAUUGCUAUAAUAAUUCCCUUUGUGUAUGCACCUUCAAUUGUCCCUCUAAUAAUUAUUAGUUUGUAGAAUUUUCAUAUACCACUACAUAUUAUUAGAAUAAUUUUGUAAUAAAAACGAGAGUGGUUAAAAACUCUGAAAGUAGCACUAUACAUGAAGGUUAUAGGAUGACGCUAAUAACUUCUACAUAAAGGUUAGCAUACUAUAUAUACAUGUGU